rnacentral:misc_RNA from 1 species
AAGUCGUAACAAGGUUUCCGUAGGUGAACCUGCGGAAGGAUCAUUAAUGAUUUGUUUUAUAAAAUAAAUAAAUAAAUUUUAUUUAUUUUUAAACUAUUAUAUAAAAAUCUUUUCAAAAAAAGAUUAUUAAUUUAAUCUUUGUGGAAUGUACUUCCCACGUUAAAUAUUCGUGCCAGGUGAAAUAUUUAUAUUAAACCUGCUUUUUUUUAAAAUAUGAAAAUAUUUUUUUAAAAAGAAAAGAAUUUAAAACUAUAUAAAAUUAAAUCAAAGUCAUAUAAUUGAUUCCGUUAAAUUAUAAAUUUAAAACAACUUUUAACAAUGGAUCUCUUGGCUCUG